CAUGGCUGGCAGGGUGUUCACUAGCCAAAGUGAAAGUUGGUAAGAACAUUUUGUUCUAAUGACAUCUUGGGCUGCACAGAACAGGUCAGUUCCUUUGAAUCUCAGGUGAGCGACUUUGGGCCUUUCAGGCCCUCUUGUUUAAUAUUAGCUUAUUUUGACACUGUUAAUUAAAAUAAUGUGAAUGUUAAUGUGCUUGUGACCAAGGUUGCGUUAUCUGAGCCAUAUCAGCGGCCUUUGUAGUUUAUUUAAAUCUUCAUUAUGUCUAACAACAUUAUAUCAGAAGUGUUGCAAUUAAGUCUGAAAGUCUGUCAUACAUUACAUUUUGGACGUGCUCUGUAAAAAAGGGGUCUAAUUCAUAUGCGUAAAGUGUCUUCCCAGAUUAGACUGUGCAGUCUGCACAGGCUAAUCAGGGACAGCACUUUCUGGCUGAAUUGGAUUUUUGCUAAGAAGAGACUAAAGUUGAAAGUGUUGUCCCUCAUUAGCCUAUGCGGACUGCACAGGCUCAUCUGGUACGGCACUUUACGCACAUGCAUUAAGCCCCCUUUUCACAGGGCCCAUACAUCUUUUUCCAGGUUUUGUUUGAAUGCCUGCACUAUGCUGAAAGGUUUGGCUGGAUUCCUGUACCAAGCCAGGUCUCUGACCCCAGACCUCUGGUGCUGAGCUCUAACAGACUGGUACCAGCAGAGUCCUCAUCUGACAGCCUGGUACCCAGCGUUAAGUCAGAUUAAUAGGUUUCAACUGUAUAUAUUACACCCAACCAAUUAUUGAACAGCAAUUGUAUUUAGCUUGUGUAUGCCUCUUUAAGAAGUGUUUGAUGUAAGCUUUACUUGAAUAUUCAUUAUUGUGAUGUUUUUUACAUUCUAUAUUGUUUGUUGUGGUGCUGAAUCAAUAUUUGGUGAUGUUUUUGAUGCUAGUUCAAGAGUUUUUUUUAACAAGUUGUAAAACAUGAGGGAGUUAUCAACUUUUUAUUUGUUAUUUGCGGAAAUUGGGCUCUCUGAAAAAAGUUAAAACGUUGCGAUAACUUAUCUGUACAAAUAUUGGGUUUUGAGUCCAGCAUGCAUAAUGUAUAUUAGCGAAUACAACUUAAGAAGGGAACUAUAAUAAUUUGUAAAUAUUUUAAUGUUUUUUAAGCCCUGUAGUUUAUUCUUUUCAGUCACCAAAGUACAUGUGUCAGUUAUUUUUAGCUCCACUAUUCAAAGAAUUGUCUGAGCAUGACUACUUACUAAUUUUAAACACUUUACAACAUCUCAAUGUCACUGUUUCUCCCACAGUUAUUCAACUUGCCACACAUAUGACAGCACAUUAUGUGAGGUCACUGACAAAGUUCUACAACUGCAUAUAAGAAAAUUAUGCCCCAUCUUUAUGCCCCCCACCACUAUAGUGGGGGACAUAUUGUUUUUGCCCUGUCUGUUGGUUGAUUUGUUGGUUGGUUUGUGUGUUUGUUUGUGCAAACUUGAAUAUUUACAAUAACUUUUGCAAUAUUGAAGAUAGCAACUUCAUAUUUGGCAUGCAUGUGUAUCUCAUAGAGCUGCAUAUUUUGAGUAGUGAAAGGUCAAGGUCAUCCUUCAAGGUCAAAUGUCAAAUAUAUGGGUCAAAAUCGCUAAUUUAAUGUACACAUUUGCAGUAUAGAAGAUAGCUGCUUGAUAUUUGGCAUGCAUGUGUAUCUCAUGGAGCUGCACAUUGUGAGUGGUGAAAGGUCAAGGUCAUCAUUCAAGGUCAGAGUUCAAAUAUAUAGGGACAUAGUGCUUCACAAACAAAUUGCUUGUUAUCCCCCGCCAUAGGCGGAGGGAUAUUGUUUUGACGUUGUCCGUCCAUCCGUCUUUCCGUCCCUCCUUCCGUCCGUCCAGCACUUUUGUGUCCGGAGCCAUAUCUUGGAAGUGCUAUUGCGGAUUUCAAUGAAACUUGGUAUGAGUAUAUAUAUGGAUAAGAGGAUGAUGCACGCCUAAUGGCAAUGUACACCAUCUGUUAAUAACAGAGUAAUGGCCCUUUGUAUCUUGGAAAAAUGCUUUUUUGUGUCCUGAGCCAUAUCUUGUAAGUGCUUUGGCGGAUUUCAUUGAAACUUGGUAUGAGUAUAUAUAUGGAUAAGAGGAUGAUGCAUACCAAAUGGCAUUGUACACCAUUGGAUAAUAAAGGAGUUAUGGCCCUUUUUAUCUUGAAAAAAUGCUUUUUUGAGUGUCAAAUAUAACACUUUUGUGUCCAGAAGCAUAUUGGCGGGGAAUAUCAAUUCAACGAAUUGGCUUGUUGUAUGUAUAAUUUUGGUUGAGGAAAAUAUGAAACAUCUCUAUAUCACUGUUUCUAUGGCAGGUAUUCAACUGAAACUUCCCAUUAAUGUUCAGGGUGAGGUCACUAUCUAAGUUUCAUAACACUGACCUGCAAUUUAUCAGAAUUUGCUUCUGUAAUACAGGUAUAGGAAAGGGAAAACAUCUCCACAGCAAUAUUUCUACUCACAGAAUUCAAUUGAUUUGUUACACAUGUGUACAUGAUUAUAAUAGAAGUCAUUACCAUAAAGUGCAAUUUUGAAGAAUUAUACUUUUUGCACUUAGAUAAUUUAUGUUUUUGUUUGGAUGCAAUUUCUCCAAAUGUACAAAUAUUGAACUGAAACAUUACCAAUGUGUUCAGAAUCUGUAUUUAUAUUCAUCAUUAUUUUAGCAUUGUUAUGCCCCUUUUUUCUUUUUAAGGUUUGCUGUAAGUUAAAUUCAAGUUAAAGAUUGCAUGCAACAAGGACACAUCUCUGUAACUCAUACAGAUAUUCAUUUUACACUUCCAUCAUGUCUUUGUGAUCAUCAUAUAAGGUCUCAGACCAAGGUCCACAACAUUGACUUGCAAUAUUGCAGAAUUAUGCCGCUCUUUGUACGUCAGUGGAAUGUCUGCUUGCAGCAACUCUGUUUUAUAAUUAUGACACUUUUGUGUAUAUGACUUAUAUAAACGUCAACUCUAAUGAGUAUUAACUAAUGUUAAUAGCAACACAACACGUGCUUCUGCUAAGACGUUUAAUAUAGAAGUGCGGCAUCAGAAAACAGGGUACAGGGUUAACGUUGGCGGGAGCCGUAGUCUGUUUCACAAUAUAAAUAGUGGUGGCUAUAGUCUAUUUCAUAGUAGAACAUUUCAUAAUAGAACAAACUCCAUAUCAUUUUAUCUACGAAAUAUAUUGAAAAAGAAGUUUACAUGUGGGUUUUUAACGUUCUUUAUAAACAGUCGCUGAGUAGAACCUAUAACUUUGAACAGCUUUUUUAAAAUGAUCAUGCCACCUUUUGUACUUGUAAAAGUCUUUUUAUGGCGUUAAUAGUUUUAUUUGAUCGUUCGUCAAAAAGUUGUAACUCUGUUACUCUUGUAUCUUCAAUGCAAUUGAGUAAUUAAAUAGUAAUUAAAUUGAAUGCGUUUUAAUUCCCUUUUAUUAUUGUUUAAUUUGAGUUACAAUGCUAUGACGUUAAAUUUUAUUUACACUUAAAUGUAUUAUGAAUAUUGCUGGGCCAAGUGUGAGGUUGAGCGCUCUAUAACCAGGUUUAAACCCCCAAUGCUUUGCAUUGACCGUUCCAAGGCGGUGACCCCAGCUUUAUUCAUAUUUUGUGUUUAUGUUGGUUUGUAUUGUGCUGUAUUGUGCUGUUUUGUACUGUUUGGGCAAUCGGUCACUUGCCUUAAAUAAAGGACCAACUAAUUGUUUUUAAUGAAAAUUCAAUACUGCUCCAGCAGCUGGAGUUUCACUUCUUUAUAUUGUAUGCAAUUUAAAAUUUAGGUUUAAAUGCCCUUUAACACUCAAAAUGAACAAAUAUUUCGUACAAUAUUUCGAAAAUUAAAAUUAAAAUAGUAUUACCCCAGUAUUACUGGUUCAUCACAUGAUUUACAAUAUGAUGAGAAAUGUACUUCACACAGUGUUAUAUAUCUAAUAACAUGUAAAAAAUAAAAUAUACAAGAUGUCAGACAAAUAAAUCAGAAAGUAUCUUGCAGAAUUAAUAAACAUAGAUUCGAUAUCAGGAACUGCUAAAUAAUGAUAAAAUCCUAUUUCACAUGUUGCUAUGCAUUUUGUCUGUACAUGUACCAACAAGUAUGGUUCUUUGUCUAAUGGUGUUGUUGCAAAAUAGUCUAGACCAUUUAUGCAAGGAGACAUUUGGAAUACGUAAAUUAAAAACUAUGAUUCCUUCCGUCUAGAAUUAACUGCUUUAUGAUAUGCAGAACAUUAUCAUAGUUUACAUAUACAUCUGAUGUUGUUUUUUUUUCUCUAAAUAUGUACAUUAUAGUAUUACUUAUAGGCUGUUGUGUCAAGUCUGAUCCAUCUUUGUAUUAUGUAUUAUUGUGUUUUAUCUAAUAUUAUUUUUCUGCUAAACUAUUUUUGUUGCUGCAUGAUGUUGAUGUGUUUUGUUGCUGUAUGACGUUUAUGCCACAUACUGUGUUUAUGUUUUUAUUAAAAGUAUUAAUAAAAUCUAUAGCCAUAACAUGUUUAGUAUUUAAGAAAUUAAAAUAAACAUAAAUAACAUGUU